rnacentral:rRNA from 1 species
AUUGAACGCUGGCGGCAUGCCUAACACAUGCAAGUCGAACGGGGCGCUUCGGCGCCUAGUGGCGGACGGGUGAGUAAAGCGUAGGAAUCUGCCUUGCAGUGGGGGACAACCUGGGGGAAACUCAGGCUAAUACCGCAUACGCUCGCGAGAGGAAAGCGGGGGGAUCUUCGGGCCUCGCGCCGCAAGAAGAGCCUACGUCCGAUUAGCUAGUUGGUAGGGUAAAAGCCUACCAAGGCGACGAUCGGUAGCUGGUCUGAGAGGAUGAUCAGCCACACUGGGACUGAGACACGGCCCAGACUCCUACGGGAGGCAGCAGUGGGGAAUAUUGGACAAUGGGCGCAAGCCUGAUCCAGCAAUGCCGCGUGGGUGAAGAAGGCCUGCGGGUUGUAAAGCCCUUUAAGUGGGGAGGAACGGCGGGAUGCGAACAGUGUUCUGCUCUGACGUUACCCACAGAAUAAGCACCGGCUAACUCCGUGCCAGCAGCCGCGGUAAU